GAAAUGCGAUAACUAGUGUGAAUUGCAGAAUUCCGUGAAUCAUCGAGUCUUUGAACGCACAUUGCGCCCCCUGGUAUUCCGGGGGGCAUGCCUGUCCGAGCGUCAUUGCUGCCCAUCAAGCACGGCUUGUGUUUUGGGUCGUCGUCCCCUCUCCGGGGGGGACGGGCCCCAAAGGCAGCGGCGGCACCGCGUCCGAUCCUCGAGCGUAUGGGGCUUUGUCACCCGCUCUGUAGGCCCGGCCGGCGCUUGCCGAACGCAAAUCAAUCUUUUUCCAGGUUGACCUCGGAUCAGGUAGGGAUACCCGCUGAACUUAAGC
rnacentral:misc_RNA from 1 species